UCCGGAAUUAUUGGGCGUAAAGAGCUCGUAGGCGGUUUGCCGCGUCUGCUGUGAAAGCCCGGGGCUUAACCCCGGGUGUGCAGUGGGUACGGGCAGACUAGAGUGCAGUAGGGGAGACUGGAAUUCCUGGUGUAGCGGUGAAAUGCGCAGAUAUCAGGAGGAACACCGAUGGCGAAGGCAGGUCUCUGGGCUGUUACUGACGCUGAGGAGCGAAAGCAUGGGGAGCGAACAGGAUUAGAUACCCUGGUAGUCCAUGCCGUAAACGUUGGGCACUAGGUGUGGGGGACAUUCCACGUUUUCCGCGCCGUAGCUAACGCAUUAAGUGCCCCGCCUGGGGAGUACGGCCGCAAGGCUAAAACUCAAAGGAAUUGACGGGGGCCCGCACAAGCGGCGGAGCAUGCGGAUUAAUUCGAUGCAACGCGAAGAACCUUACCAAGGCUUGACAUGGACCGGAUCGCCCUAGAGAUAGGGUUUCCCUUCGGGGCUGGUUCACAGGUGGUGCAUGGUUGUCGUCAGCUCGUGUCGUGAGAUGUUGGGUUAAGUCCCGCAACGAGCGCAACCCUUGUCCUAUGUUGCCAGCACGUAAAGGUGGGGACUCAUGGGAGACUGCCGGGGUCAACUCGGAGGAAGGUGGGGAUGACGUCAAAUCAUCAUGCCCCUUAUGUCUUGGGCUUCACGCAUGCUACAAUGGCCGGUACAGUGGGUUGCGAUACUGUGAGGUGGAGCUAAUCCCUAAAAGCCGGUCUCAGUUCGCAUCGAAGUCUGUAAAUCGACUUCGUGAAGUUGGAGUCGCUAGUAAUCGCAGAUCAGCAACGCUGCGU
rnacentral:rRNA from 1 species